rnacentral:sRNA from 1 species
UGUCCCGAGUUGUUUAUUUAUUGAGCUGUGGUAGUGUCCAGCUACGCCUCCACUUAUCGAGGCCCGUGAAAACCCCGCCUUUUUGUGGCGGGGUUUUGCUUUUUU